CUCUGAAAUCAAUAAAAUACAUUUUUAUAAAAGGAAAAACCUUGCUUCAGAAGAAGUUUUGUAUUCCUAUUCAGCCACACUUUCAUUUUGAGAUGAAACAUGGUGUAGGGCUUAGAAGAUGCCACGUGCCCUAACUGGUUUGGCUCAGUGGUAGAGCGUCGGUAUGCAGAC